rnacentral:rRNA from 1 species
AUUGAACGCUGGCGGCAUGCCUUACACAUGCAAGUCGAACGGUAACAGGUCUUCGGAUGCUGACGAGUGGCGAACGGGUGAGUAAUACAUCGGAACGUGCCCGAUCGUGGGGGAUAACGGAGCGAAAGCUUUGCUAAUACCGCAUACGAUCUACGGAUGAAAGCAGGGGACCGCAAGGCCUUGCGCGGACGGAGCGGCCGAUGGCAGAUUAGGUAGUUGGUGGGAUAAAAGCUUACCAAGCCGACGAUCUGUAGCUGGUCUGAGAGGACGACCAGCCACACUGGGACUGAGACACGGCCCAGACUCCUACGGGAGGCAGCAGUGGGGAAUUUUGGACAAUGGGCGAAAGCCUGAUCCAGCCAUGCCGCGUGCAGGAUGAAGGCCUUCGGGUUGUAAACUGCUUUUGUACGGAAUGAAAAGACUCUUUCUAAUAAAGAGGGUCCAUGACGGUACCGUAAGAAUAAGCACCGGCUAACUACGUG